rnacentral:tRNA from 1 species
GUCCCUGUAGCGCAAUGGAUAGCGUGUUGAACUUCUAAUCCAAAGGUCGUGGGUUCGAACCCAACCUGGGAUG